UACACACCGCCCGUCACACCAUGGGAGUGGGUUGCACCAGAAGUAGCUAGUCUAACCUUCGGGGGGACGGUUACCACGGUGUGAUUCAUGACUGGGGUGAAGUCGUAACAAGGUAGCCGUAGGGGAACCUGCGGCUGGAUCACCUCCUUAAUCGACGACA
rnacentral:rRNA from 1 species